rnacentral:rRNA from 1 species
UGGGGAAUAUUGGGCAAUGGAGGAAACUCUGACCCAGCAACGCCGCGUGAAGGAUGAAGGUCUUCGGAUUGUAAACUUCUGUCGCAGGGGACGAAGAAUGACGGUACCCUGUAAGAAAGCCCCGGCAAACUACGUGCCAGCAGCCGCGGUAAUACGUAGGGGGCAAGCGUUGUCCGGAAUGACUGGGUGUAAAGGGAGUGUAGGCGGCUUGGUAAGUUAUGUGUGAAAGCCCCGAGCUUAACUCGGGAACUGCACAUAAGACUGCCUGGCUAGAGUGCAGGAGAGGCAAGUGGAAUUCCUAGUGUAGCGGUGGAAUGCGUAGAUAUUAGGAGGAACACCAGUGGCGAAGGCGACUUGCUGGACUGUAACUGACGCUGAGGCUCGAAAGCGUGGGGAGCAAACA